rnacentral:rRNA from 1 species
GACGAAGGAUGCAAGUGUUAUCCGGAUUCACUGGGUUUAAAGGGUGCGUAGGUGGAUCGGUAAGUCCGUGGUGAAAUCCCCGAGCUUAACUCGGGAACUGCCGUGGAUACUAUCGAUCUUGAAUGCCGUGGAGGUAAGCGGAAUAUGUCAUGUAGCGGUGAAAUGCUUAGAUAUGACAUAGAACACCAAUAGCGAAGG